rnacentral:rRNA from 1 species
UUCGUAGGCGGUUUGUUAAGUUAGAUGUGAAAGCCCCGGGCUUAACCUGGGAAUUGCAUUUAAAACUGGCAGACUAGAGUUUGGGAGAGGAGAGUGGAAUUUCAGGUGUAGCGGUGAAAUGCGUAGAGAUCUGAAGGAACACCAGUGGCGAAGGCGGCUCUCUGGACUAAAACUGACGCUGAGGAACGAAAGCAUGGGUAGCAAACAGGAUUAGAUACCCUGGUAGUCC